rnacentral:tRNA from 1 species
GCACCCAUGGCGGAAUUGGCAGACGCGCACGGUUCAGGUCCGUGUGUUGCAAGACGUGGAAGUUCGAGUCUUCUUGGGUGCACCA